rnacentral:rRNA from 1 species
UACGUAGGGAGCGAGCGUUGUCCGGAUUUAUUGGGCGUAAAGAGCUCGUAGGCGGUUUGGCAAGUCGGAUGUGAAAGCUCCGGGCUCAACCCGGAGACGCCAUUCGAUACUGCCAUGACUAGAGUCCGGUAGGGGGGUGUGGAAUUCCCAGUGUAGCGGUGAAAUGCGCAGAUAUUGGGAGGAACACCAGUGGCGAAGGCGGCUCACUGGACUGGUACUGACGCUGAUGCGCGAAAGCGUGGGGAGCAAACAGG